GACGAACGCUUGCGGCGUGCCUAAGAAAUGCAAGUCGAGCGGGGAUGCUUUGCAUUGGGUUGAUGAGGCGGGUUGAUGGUUGAUAGUUGAUGGUUGAUGGUUAAAUGCCUCACGGUGUUUUCCAACAACCAUACACCAUACACCAUCAAACCAAAAAACCAUCAACCGAAUGCAGAGCAUUCUAGCGGCGAACGGUCGCGUAACACGUAAGCAACCUGCCNCAAAGACCGGGACAACAUCUCGAAAGGGGUGCUAAUACCGGAUGUGGCCACCUGAUGGCAUCUUCGGGUGAUUAAACCGAGCAAUCGG
rnacentral:rRNA from 1 species